AUUGAACGCUGGCGGCAGGCCUAACACAUGCNAGUCNAGCGGAUGACGGGAGCUUGCUCCUUGAUUCANCGGCGGACGGGUGAAUAAUGCCUACGAAUCUGCCUGGUANUGGGGGACAACGUUUCGAAAGGAACGCUAAUACCGCAUACGUCCUACNGGAGAAAGCAGGGGACCUUCGGGCCUUGCGCUAUCAGAUGAGCCUAGGUCGGAUUAGCUANUAGGUGAGGUAAUGGCUCACCUAGGCGACGAUCCGUAACUGGUCUGAGAGGAUGAUCAGUCAC
rnacentral:rRNA from 1 species